CCUACGGGGCGCAGCAGUGGGGAAUAUUGGGCAAUGGGCGCAAGCCUGACCCAGCAACGCCGCGUGAAGGAAGAAGGCUUUCGGGUUGUAAACUUCUUUUAUUCGGGACGAAGCAAGUGACGGUACCGAAUGAAUAAGCCACGGCUAACUACGUGCCAGCAGCCGCGGUAAUACGUAGGUGGCGAGCGUUAUCCGGAUUUACUGGGUGUAAAGGGCGUGUAGGCGGGAGUGCAAGUCAGAUGUGAAAACUAUGGGCUCAACCCAUAGCCUGCAUUUGAAACUGUACUUCUUGAGUGCUGGAGAGG
rnacentral:rRNA from 1 species